GUAAAUAAAGCUUAGUUUGAGUUGCUAUCAAGAACGCCGUACCUCGACUCUGCCGGUGUACGUUGCGCCUUACCCUAUAAGCUGCAAUCAG